CACGUAGGGUGCGAGCGUUGUCCGGAAUUAUUGGGCGUAAAGAGCUCGUAGGCGGUGUGUCGCGUCGGCCGUGAAAACCUGCAGCUUAACUGUGGGCGUGCGGUCGAUACGGGCAUCACUGGAGUUCGGCAGGGGAGACUGGAAUUCCCGGUGUAGCGGUGAAAUGCGCAGAUAUCGGGAGGAACACCGGUGGCGAAGGCGGUUCUCUGGGCCUUACCUGACGCUGAGGAGCGAAAGCGUGGGGAGCGAACAGG
rnacentral:rRNA from 1 species